UUUGUUUGUGUUCCGGGCAUGGCGGAGCCGGCGGCCGCGGGCACCCCCCGCUCCACCCGGCCCUCCCCGGCUGAGGGGUUUGUGCGAGGUAACUGUGGGUCUUCUGCAAUAGCAGAGUGAUGAAAUGACACUUGAAUAGAUUCAUGAGAACCUAGGGAGUGUGACCUGCCAGACAAGUCUGCCCAAAUCCAAGAUCACCUAUGUCUUUGUCAUUCCUUGACAGAAAACUGUUGAAACUCUUCCUGGAUACUGAAUGAUGGCUACAGUUUUUCCUUGUGGAUCAUGAUUUGUAAAUCUCUGAGAUGUCUCACUGUCCUGCAGCCUCCUUCUUUGGUCCCCUUUUCCAAUGAUUAUUCUGAAGGGCACGAUUUUGCACUUCCUGUUGAAACUUUGGCCUGUGACAGCUUAGCUGGCUGAAUUGCAGCAGACAAGUUACUGGAGACUGAACAGAAGGAAUGUGAGAAGGAGCCAUUGAAGAUUUUGUAGUGAAACACAGUCCCUUUGUCCAGAGCUGUGGUGGUGCCACAUUGCUGUGACCCCAUUGCACCAGUCAGCACUGCAGGAUCCACUUCCCCAGGGCUGGAUCCUGAUCCCUCUGCCAUAUCAGCCAGGUGAGGAGAAGGACAGGCCUCUGCCACCAUCAAGGACAACCCAAAUCUCUCCUGAGCCUCGUCCUAAAAGGUUCAGUAAUUUACAGUUCCUUAUGGCAAGACACUUCUUCUGGAAUUGUCGUGAACAUUUUAAAAUGUUAUCAGACAAUAAUUGCUAUCACAACUUUUAAUUCUGUGUUUCUGUUUCAAAUUUUCCUCAGUUCAAUCAGAACCAAAAGUUAAUGCCCGUUGGCUAAUUUCCAGUGCAUGCCUCCACAGAACAACUGCUGCCUUUAACUGGUGGGGAGAUCAAGGCUUGAACUGACAAAAGACAUCUGUAUUUUGGAAAACAAAUUAAUGUUUAUGUUUUAAUUUAUAAGUUCCUGGCUCUUUUAUGGUUCCUGUUUUUCAAGUAAUGUCUCUUUGGAUCCCUAGCUGAUGGAGAGUCAAAAUGGAAAAGGCCCAUGAGAGAAUUAUCACAAUAGAACAUCUGGUCUGCAUUGGAAAAAGCUGAGAAAGAUAUUCAACAUCUCUGAGACUGAGGCAGCCAUGAGGCAGUUUGAAAGUCAGUCCAUGAAAAAUUGUGCAGGUUGUGGCCACCUGGGCCAAUCUAGUGUUGUUUUGGGAAGAGCUACUCUGCUCAUGAACAUCUGAAUUUUAAUCUCCCUUUAGCAUGGAUAUGUGAGAGCUGGCAGUGGUAUGAAAGGUGUUUGCUUUCCAUAAUGUUAAUCUGAGUCCCAGCAUUGUCCUAAUUAUAUUGUGGGUUUUUGCCAGUCUCCCAGAUUUCUUUUGAGCAUGUAGGCUGGAGUCAAAAGGCUUUCCCAGGGCUUUUGGCAUAGCUUGACAGAAAAGUGGAUGGAAAGGACUUUGUAUAUUUUUGGAAGAAUAUUUUGCAUCCUGCUUUAAACUAUUCCAGAAGGUAAAAGGACAUUAGCUAGACUGUGUUGGCUCACACACUGAUAUGUCACUAGUGGCAAGGAGUUUUAUUCCUGUUUUCUGCAGUCACAGACUGUAAAAAAUGCAAAGAAAUCAUGGACCAGCAAGGGCAGUAAAGGUGCCCCUGGAUUCAGAGGGAACAAACUCCUUCCACCACAUGGAACUUCGGUCCUUUAAGUCAUCAUAGCUCAUGCAGAACAGAAACAAUUUGACAUGUAUAACAAGAAACAUUGCAAAUUGUUUGCCAAACAAAGACUUAUACUGCAGAUGGAAGAACUGAUGAAAAUUGUUUAUAGAUGGGGAACUAAAUGUAGAUAUUUUGAGAACAAGGUUGCUGUCUUCCUUGCCAAGACAAACAAAUCUGAUAGACCAUCUCAUUGCUUUAGGCUGCUUGAGGACCCACUGGAAAGUCUAUGGACCUUUUUCCACAGAAAAUUUGUGUAUUGUCAAUACAUAAGUGUAUUGUCCACAGUUACACCAUGGCAGCUGCAGAGGAAAUGGAAGGUUCUCAGGAAUACAUUAGGGAGAGCUGGAUUUUUGGCUUCUGAAAGAGUGUGGAGAGCUUUUGGAAACUGUGGAAGUUUUUAAGCUGGAUGUUACUGCUACAAAAGGUUAUCUGUGAGUUAAACAUAAUAGUAAUUAAUCUGCUGUCUUUAGAUCUUAACACUAACAACACAAUUAAAUUGAGAAUUCCUAUCUUCUACAAUUGCAAUUUCCAAGAUGUCUUCACUCCUGUGAACGUAUCCUGGUCUGCAUUCAGAGAUUUUUCAGUGUUACCUUUAGAAUUCUGUGCACAGAUGUUUUUCCAAAGCACUGUGUAAUCAUCCCAAACAACUGGUUUUAAUGGGCCAGUUAUUUUGGAAAUCACGUAAUGAGAACAUAAAUACAAUCCCUGAUACUGACAUAAAACAUGUAUUAGCAAAAUAAUAUAGUUUGUAUUUCCCUGAUACAGAGCAGACCCUGGAAAUACAUAACUCAUCAUGUCCUUAAACUUCUGUUAUGUCUGUAAACAUCGAUAUUGGCAGAGAGGCCCAGCAGCAUCCUGGGCUGCAUUAGGAAGAGCAUUGCUAGGAAAUCAAAGGAGGUGAUCAUUCCCCUUUGCCCAGCACUGGGGAGACUUCAGUGGGAAUGCUGUGCCCAGUUCUGGGCUCCCUGCAGCAGGGAGGACAUGGACGUGCUGGAGUGAGGGCAGGAAAGGCCUUGGGGAUGGAUAAGAGGAGCAUCUGUCCUGUGGCUGCCCAGGGAGGUUUUGAAGUUGACGUCGUUGAAGAAACUCCAAACUCAACAGAGCAAGGUCCCGAGCACCCUGCCCUGGGUGAUCCAGCUUUGAGCUGGGCUUGGGCUGAGUGAUCUCCGGAGCUGCUUCCAGACUGGGAAUGUUUGAGGCAGUUUGCUUGUGUCUUGUCAGCGUUUUAGCUGCAACUCGACUGUGGAGGAAUCCUAAGGAGAGCAAAGGCUGUGACCCUAGAAAUUCAUCCAGAUGGCUGAGGCCCAGAAAAGGCAUAAUGGGAGCUGCUAAGUAUUCUAAAUGUCUCAUCAGAGUGAUAUUUCACUUGAAAAUACAAAAUAGAAAUUAUUUGGGUCUCAAUGACACUGAAUACCCAUAAUGUUCUCUCACUUCAGCUGGACUGCAGAUGGUAACAACCUCUCUCUAUCUGAACACGCUUGUUUUAGUUUAAUCUUGCUCUGUAAAAUUUUAACCUAUAUUUUUCUCUAGAAAUUAAUACUUGGUGCUUUAUGGUGCAGAAUUUAUUUGCUGGUUUGUUCCACAUUUUCUUUCCUUACUAGUACUGAUAUUAACAAAUUACAAUCUAUUUUGACAUAUUACUUCAGUAAGAAGCACAUAAUAUGUCUCAGGGAGUUGAGAAUAUCAUAAUUUGAGCAAGGUAAAAUCAAAAUAUAUAAUUACAUUGCAUAUUCUAUGGCACUAAGUUUGUAACUAUUCUUACAGUACCUUCAGAAUAAGAAGGAGGAUGAAAUUCAAAAAGGGCUUUCAUAGUUUAAAAAUAUUUAUGUUGAAAGCUUUAUGUUGAAGCAAGAUUUAUGUUGAAAGGCAAAGAAUUUUUAUUUUUUUUUUAAUCAGCUGGAUAGUGGUUGGAAGAUUCACCUGUGGUUUUUCUUUAUGAAAAUGCCAAGGAGCUAACUUGCAGUAUUGAGAAUUUUCAGAUCCUCCUUCUUUUGAAAAUUCUUUGUCUUUUAUAUUGCCUCCAAGGAAAAAGGAAAGCACACUGGAAAACAAGAAAUUGAGCAACAUUGCACAAGCAAUUAGGAAAUAAAUAGAUUAUAAAGCAUUUUAUUUUAUUUUGAUUUUGCACUUCAGCAAGUGAAACAAUAAGUAAAUAACCUGUUUCUUUAUUAUCAAUAUAUGGAGUCACAUGUAUUAGUGACAGACCAAGGCAUAAAUGUAUAAAUAAUAAUAAAUAUAAUAAUAACAAUAAUAAUAUAAAUAAUAUUAAUAAAUAUAAAUAAUAUAAAUGUAUAAAAUAGCACCUGUGAUAAUUAUUAGAGGACAUCAAAUUUUGCUAGGGAUGAGCCCAUUGUGGAAACACAAAAUUAAGACUUCAGACAAAAAUAACACAUGAAGGUCAAAUGUACUUAGUCAUUGGUUGCUGUCUCUGCACCACUUUCCCCUGACUUAAUGCUUUUACAGCACAUCUCUGAUUCAGUCUCCCCUGUCCUGUGUGGGAUGGGGUUUUUGGUGGGGAGAAUAUUACUUUAAAUUGACACCUCUAGCAGCAAUUCCUACUUGUACUGAUUUCCUUUUAUAAAUGUGUAACCUAUUAUAUCUAUCCAAGCCUGGCUGAGCUCCAAGUCACCCAUUUCUCAGUAAUACAGGAAAUUAAAUCUAAUGUCUAAUAAGCAUAGAGGCUUAUGCAACCUUCAUUCCCUGUAAAAAUAUAAUAAUAUUACCUUGUCUUUUGAUAGCUAGAGAGUUGGGCACUUAGUUUUUAUGUAGACCAAAGUGGCUCUGCAUUUGGCCUUGAGGAGUCUGGGUUUAUCCAUCCUUUUUUGCAGACUUACUGAAUUUCACCUCAAAAAUUCUCCCCUUAUUAAAGGCCCCCCCUGAAUUGUUCAUGUGUAGGGUUUGGUCCCUUUCACCACUUCUCGCUGUGGUAGGAACCUCCUUUGUUCCCACAGAGGGCUCUGUCCCCCGUGAUCUCAUCCUGGGAGUGCUGCUGCUUUCUUGUUCAUUCUCUCUCUCCCAGGAUUUUUCCAGCCUGAACAGAUUUCUGCCUGUUCCAUCUCAUUUUCUGAUAAUACCACCACAGCUCUGUGUCAGUUGGUGCAGCCUUUAAAAAUGCAGAAAUCUGAUUUUAGGCCAUACAGGUUAACAUAAUUUCAAGGCUUUGUCUCCUGCAUGUACUGGUUCAAUAAGUGGAUUUAUACUGGAUAAUUUUAAACUGUUACAGCCGUCUGAUAGCAUUUCUCUCUUGCUGCUGUAAUACAUAAAGUGACAUAAGGUCACUGAUGCUGUGGAAAUUGGUUUUGGAGAUGAUAUGCUAAUUCAGCAAGAAAUCAGUUCUAGCAGAAUCGCAAAGAAAAUUAUUUUAAUCUAGUGUCAUGCUACUUUGUUGGCUUUUAGGAAAGAGAUAAUUAAAAUAUUCAAGGGAGUUCCAAGUCUGUGGAAAAAAAUACCAUUUUGGAGAUUUAAGGUUAUUUUUGCCUCACAGUUUAUUAGCAUCUUUUCUGAAAGCAAGUUGAAUGUGAUGGGCACAAAUGUGACAUUUUCACAUGCUGAAAAAAGUAAGAAAUAAGAUAUUUCUUAAAGCUGAGUUCUGUAUAAGAAUAAACUUGGUUCAGUCUUUUCUGUGUCACUCACCCCAUGUUUACAGUAACUGCUCCUGCAAUUUUGUGGAUGAAAACUUCCAUGCAGAUACGUCCAGGGCCAUUAAUGAGGCUGCAUUAUGCAACUAAUUGCAACGGAGAACAAAAUUACAUUAAUGGUGCCUGAGGAGAAAGAGAAUCUCUGCACUCAGUGUGAGUAAGGGGUAGCCAAUGCCUUACUUUUUCCAAAACAAAUAUUUAAGUUAAAUUGAGAACAAUAGUUGAUAUCUGAGAAUGAUCACUAGGAGUUUGAAAGCCCUAUAUUUUUUCAAAACACUGUCUUAUGCUAAGGAAUUUCCAAGCUCAAAAAAUAAAAUAACUGUAAUGUUCACUGUAUGAGUAUGCCAAAGGAAAAAAAUUGCCUCUUUCAUAAACUCUUUCAUCUUUUUGAGAUAAAGAACAGAGAAAAUGCAUUUCUAAGAACUUUUUUUUUUUAAUGUCUGAAUUGUAAGAGUAGUGCUGUCAUUGUCAUAUUUUAAAAGAAAUUUUAAUUCUAUAAUAAAGAAAAAAAGUUGUCAUUUUACACUCUGUUCUUUCAUAAAGCAGGUACAAUGCUGCUGUUUGUGGAGGAAGGACACCAGCUGCAACAAGAGUAGUGUCUGUUCUAGAGUGAGGGAUGAGCUCCACUGGAGAUGAGUUGGCUUCCCUGGCUGCAGUGCUCAGCAUUUCAUUUUAGCAACUCUGAGACUGAUCCAAGUCUUUGUCUCCUCCUGCACUUUAUGCUAAUGCAAGUACCAGCUUGUGUGUUAUUGAAGAGAGAGAAAUAGAAAAUGCAAUUCAAUGUUUUAUUUCAUGCUCCCCAAGCUUAUUCAGACAGACACACCCAGAGUGAAUGUGUGCUGCACUCAACUUGGAGAUCUUGUGUUAUAAAUUCUGGCUCCCCUGUGCUUUCCUGCUUUGCCCAUAGAGCAGAUAAGGGAGUUCAUAACAGGAACACCCUGUUACCUCAGCUGCAGAAGGUUCUGAGAAUUUAAUGGCCAAGAGAGUGGAAUUUAAAUUUAUUUUUGUUCAGCUUGUGUCAGCAAGCAUUUAAAAGAUCCACCAAUUUAUCUUUGUCAGAGAUUGUUUUUCUUUUGGCUUAGCUUGGACACAAAUCUCACUGUUGGGCUUAUAUUUAUGGAGCAGGACCCAAGGUUUCUCCAUGUGUUCAGUAUUAGGAUUUCGACUUUGCAAGUCUUGUUGCUUGAGAUAGGUGUAAAAGUCAUGUCUGCAUGUACAGCAGGAACAGAACUGGGGUUUGGAUGCUGCUACUUAGUCAAUUGAGAAGGAACAAAAGUAGUUUUGAAGGCUGCCUCUCUUCAGGUAAAA